UUUUGCUCCUGUGAUAAAUCUUCAUUGAUGAUCUACAGAGAAGGUCUGUUGUGUAUUGAACCUUGUGGAUUUCAGGAAUCUGGGUUGCAUUCUUCACAUCAGUGAGUACUAAGUGUGUCACAUUCAUUCUUCGUGUCAUGCUCAUUUGACUGCCACAUGACCUGAGGAUGCUGAAAAUGCACUCUCUGUGAAGGUGAUAAUAAUCUUCCUGUUCAGAAGAUAAAAUAUAACCACCAUGGAGAACAAGAUGACAACCAUGGAGUCUGAGAAUGUAAGAACAUGUCUUCUACUGCCAAGGACCAGCUGACACCCACAGAGGCACAGAAUGGGAAAUGCUUUGUGCACCAAAAGGGAGGAAGUUUAUAAAAAGAUUUUUGUUUUCAUUCAUACUGUGACCUAAGUAACGUCCCAGUUUAAACUUUAAACUCAAGAUCAUUAACUUGUCACAAUGAUUUCUGGCUUAGAACUUCAUAGUAAAAUAAGAAGGCAUUAAAAGGUUUACUAAUUGAUAAGAUAAAGCUUGUUAAAAUGUAAUGCUUUCCAUAUUUCAUAAAUAGAAUGAUUUAAAGUUAUAUUAUUGAAACUACAUGAAUUGUUUAAGCCAGUGACUGACUCACAUGUCAUGCCUCAAAGGUAAAACUAUGACAAAAAUGCUGGGUUCCACUUUUGGAUUUCCAAAAUUGUAAAAUAUCAGGGCUUUGGUCUCUAUUUUGCUAAACAUAAACAUAAAAUGUGAAAAUGUACCCCAUACUUGGGAAAUGUAGAGAAACACAUGCAAAUAAAUAGUUCUCAUUGAGUUAAAGACUGAUGUCAGUUGCAAAUGAUUUACACAAGAAAACUGACUGUCUCACACGCAGCAGUUAACUUUUAUGUUGUAAAAUAGACAGAAUUUGAAAUGAAAUGACCAUACUCUUUUCACAUUUAUGUUACGUUAUUGACAG